AUUGAUGUUUCAUGAUCAAAGUGACUUUGAAUAUGAUUAUGAGACACUUCGAACUACAGGGGUCAUCAUUGGUGUGAUCUUGUUUGUGUCUGGUAUCCUAAUAGCUCUUAGUAAAAAACUCACAUGCUCAAAAUCGUCUUCCAAGUAAGAGUUUGUACAGGGCUUGGCAGUUGCUCCGCCUGUGCAUGUGGAAUGCAUCAGUCUUUGGAAGAGGAGUCCCCACCAAAUACAGGAUGGCUUUACGAAUACUAUUUUACUGUUACCAUGUCUGUCCUUUCCCCCUCUCUCCCUUCCCACAGUGGAACCCAUGUCUGAAUGCUGCCUAUUGGUUAAGAUAAUACAGUCCCGCACUCCCUCCCUAAAUCCAACAACACUGCCCAGCCAUUCAACUAACUAAGCAAUCACCCUACAGAGCAUCAUAUUACAGUCAAAUGUCUCAAGAUAGUUUAGUAGUCUAACUCUGUGACAUCUUUGACAUUUUUGAAAAUCAAGUGUUCUUGUCAACCAAGCAAUAUUAAGGAAAUGUCUGCAUUAGGACUUUUUUGGGGCCCCUAGUUGAGAAUGGGGGCCGUUGUUGCAUGAGUUGGCAGUGUGGGUGGAUGGCCUCAAAGAGUGUAUGUUUACAGCCAAUGGCAUGCGGACCCAGUCUCUUCCUCUCCCCUAACCUUUGAGAGAGGACAUCGAUUGGGAAGAUCCUGACAUAUCUCUGCAUUUUGCCCCAAAUUGAAUCCUGUGAUUGUCAAAGCUUUGUGGCCCCAGCCCCUUCUGUGCAUGGAUACAGUUGACCUAAUCCGUCUAAAAUACCUUCUCUUUGGUCAGAACACACAUGAUCUUGGUUACGUUGUGGUUGUUUCCACAAAGCUUUGAGGUGAACUGAACUGUCGUAACUAUCCAGGAUUGCUUCCUUUAAUUCCCUUUCUCUCCUUGUGUCAGAGUGAAUAACUGUCUUCUCUUGUCUUCUCGUCUUCAGCUCUAAUCCAGCAGGCACCCAAAUACCAAAGACAGAGGUGCCUCCUCAAACAGUAUAGAUGAAGUGUGCAUGGAGGCGAGGGAGAUUCAUCAUGGGAGGUGCUGCAGAGAGGCCAACACACAUAAUAACACACACUCUCACAUUUAUGGUUGCCACACAUCAGCACCCAUUGGAACAUCAAGUAUGGUGCACACCCAGCCCAUGUUGACCAGAAGAAUGACUGAAUUGUCAUUCUUGAUUUAAAUAAAAUGUAUAUCAAGAUGAAGAUGUUACUCUUAACCGUCUUUGUGACUUCUGUAUUAGGUGCUAUCAAUCUACCUUGCCCAGGAGAGAAUGUAAAGUAGCCUUCAGUGCUGAUUUGGGGUUUAUCCUUACCCCAAUCGGCACCAAAAGCACCUAAAAGCAAAAAAACAUACCUGGCGCAAGAUCAGCUUUCAGGUGCACUGUAAAUCUAUAUCAUGAUAUGGGUAGUGUUGAAACAGAACUGAAUGCUGUGCUCUCUCUGUUCCUUGCUUUUGACUUCAUGCACACCCAAGAAAGUUGAUUGCAUGUCUCAUUUUACUGUAUAGUACUCUCAAUGCACUUUAGAAAUCUACAACUUUAUCAUCCAGUCGUGAGAGAGGUCUUUUACAUUUAGGAUUUCACAUUGGACCUGUAUUAAUAACCUCAAGCAUGAAUUAAGAUAUCAAACCAACCCCAUUAUCCCACUGUUUUACUGAUGGUUGGCUCAGGAUCUAUCUGCUGUCAUUUUUGAUGGCAUUAAGUGGACUGCCGUGUGUGGUUGUGUUCUAGGUAGCAAUGAGAAGGAUGUCAACCACAUGUCAGAUGUUAAUUUGAAACAGAAGCAGGAAUGAAGUCUCCUAUCAUUCUCUGGGUUCUGUAAGAGGGUGCCACCAGUACAGUUUUGUAUGUCAACAGCCUUUUUCUUUCUCCUAUUGUAUUUUAAGUUACAUUGCAUGAGUAGAAUCAUUCAAAGCGCUAAAAAGGUAUUACCUUGGGUGUGAAGGAGCGGGCAUUUUAAAAGUGUAUGAGUUUAAGCUUAAUGAAAAGAUCAAUACAUUAAGAUAAGAACUCACAGUAACUAGCUGCAAAUAAAAUAUCUGUAUUAUCAUUAUUUAGAGCUGUUUCUAACUUGCUGCAAGUACAAUGUCUGUUAUCUUCAGAUAUUUUUAUUUACCGGUAUGCAGCACUAGUAAUGCCUGAUACUGAGCCAAUGGCGUAACAGUUAACCAAAAGCAAAUGAGACAGCUGCUGCAAUAAAAAUCACCCUGUAUACAAUG